GGAGGGCUCGCGUAACGGCAUCGCAGCGGCCUUGAAAGUCGCCGACCGAGAGGUCAUCGGGGUUCGAAUCCCCGGCCCUCCG
rnacentral:tRNA from 1 species